rnacentral:rRNA from 1 species
AUUGAACGCUGGCGGCAUGCCUUACACAUGCAAGUCGAACGGCAGCACGGGGGCAACCCUGGUGGCGAGUGGCGAACGGGUGAGUAAUACAUCGGAACGUGUCCUGUCGUGGGGGAUAACCAGUCGAAAGACUGGCUAAUACCGCAUGAGAUCGAAAGAUGAAAGCGGGGGAUCGCAAGACCUCGCGCGAUUGGAGCGGCCGAUGUCGGAUUAGCUAGUUGGCGGGGUAAAAGCCCACCAAGGCGACGAUCCGUAGCUGGUUUGAGAGAACGACCAGCCACACUGGGACUGAGACACGGCCCAGACUCCUACGGGAGGCAGCAGUGGGGAAUUUUGGACAAUGGGCGAAAGCCUGAUCCAGCCAUGCCGCGUGCAGGAUGAAGGCCUUCGGGUUGUAAACUGCUUUUGUACGGAACGAAAAGGUUUGGCCUAAUAAGCUGAGCUCAUGACGGUACCGUAAGAAUAAGCACCGGCUAACUACGUGCCAGCCGCCGCUGUAA